rnacentral:rRNA from 1 species
GACGAACGCUGGCGGCGUGCUUAACACAUGCAAGUCGAACGGAAAGGCCCUGCUUUUGUGGGGUGCUCGAUUGGCGAAGGGGUGAGUAACACGUGAGUAACCUGCCCUUGACUUUGGGAUAACUUCAGGAAACUGGGGCUAAUACCGGAUAGGAGCUCCUGCUGCAUGGGGGGGGUUGGAAAGUUUCGGCGGUUGUGGAUGGACUCGCGGCUUAUCAGCUUGUUGGUGGGGUAGUGGCUUACAAAGGCUUUGACGGGUAGCCGGCCUGAGAGGGUGAACGGCCACAUUGGGACUGAGAUACGGCCCAGACUCCUACGGGAGGCAGCAGUGGAGAAUAUUGCACAAUGGGCGGAAGCCUGAUGCAGCAACGCCGCGUGCGGGAUGACGGCCUUCGGGUUGUAAACCGCUUUCGCCUGUAACGAAGCGUGAGUGACGGUAAUGGGUAAAGAAGCACCGACUAACUACGUG